rnacentral:lncRNA from 1 species
CUCCCACACAUCCAGCACCUCUCUACACCUCCUACUCCACAGGACUACCACCCUGCCCGGUCCAUCAUCAUAAAGCGUCAAGGGUCCCACCAGCCGUCCAUCCACCCGAGCGUAAAGGGCAACGAAGAUCAUAUAAGCUGGUCUGGUAGGUGCCCCUGUAUCUAUUGUCAAACAAGAGGUGCAUUUGACAAAUACGACUCCUGGGAAAUGGCGGUCCUGGAAGUCCUCUUGCCGCCAAACAAAGUCGGCGGGGGAGCCAUAAAGGAUGGUCGUCGUGGCAGCAGGUGGGGUAGGCGGCGCAGUAGACAUCUUCUACUCUGAAGAAACAACAUAAUAAUAAGUGUGAGUUUUUAAAACAAAAACUCAGCAAGUGGGUGGUUAGUCCUAACUUGAAUUGGCCAAAAACAGUGCAAAUAAGUAAACAAAAUCAUCAAGUUAUUGAAUCCACAGAAACCUAGCUGCAACAAUCACCCAGGGGGAGACAACACUCCACCCUGAACCCCCUCGCACCCAACCUAGCAUCACGAGAUCCCCUGAGAAGCUGUUCAACCCUUCUCAGACCUCUGGAGAGAACACCACUACUUCUUUUCAUCCCUCUCCAGGCAUCCCGACACCCAAGGUCUCACAUUGGCUCAUUAUCCAAUCAUACUUUCAUAGUUCCACUUUAUUGCAACACCAACAAUCUCAGCCAAUUAAGAAUCCAAUACAAAAGACAACAACUAACACAUAUACUCGGAUCAAGCAAUUUAUGAACAAAAAGGAGCAGUUUUGUUCGCAGACAUAAAAAGUACAUCAAUCCUUAUCAGAAUAUUACGAAAUUUUGACACGUUAUUGAUAAGACCUAGAGGGAAAAAUAUCAAGAAGAACACUAAGUCAGAUUCCAUAGGAACCAAGGGUAAAACUUCGAUUUUCUUCCUACCCAACAUUCUGUAAAAUUCCAGAUUUCAUAUUUUUGUAGGAAAAUUAUUUCGAGGGUCAUACUUUGUUCAUUCUCUCUAAAUUUUGGAUAUGUUAUUCAUGAAGAUGUGCUCUAAAAUUUUCAUCAAGGGUUCGAAAUCAAAUUGUGAUCAGAUAAUUACAGAGAAUUUGAAAUGUCGCCUGAGGUCACACUGAUUUUCACAAAAACAGUUCACUAGUUCACAAAACUCCUCCUAUUAAUUAAAUUGAAUUCAGCGCAUUGGUAAUUUGAAGCUACACUCCCGACUUCAAGAUUUUCAAAGAUUGGUUUGUACAAGGAUUUGUAAUUUUGAAGGUACCAAAACUAUUUUCUUCUCCUUUUUGAAUCAUUGUUAAGGGUGCCUCGGUAAGUAAAAUUUCAGCAAGGGUCGGGAGGUUUUCCAAAUUGGACUAUGGCCAAGUUUUUUUUUUUUUUUCAAAGAAAAUAAAUGAGUUUAAAGCUUGUAGAGCAAGUCCGAAAUGUCAACCCGAUCUCUAAUGGUUUUAAAAGAAUUGAUACAGAAUUUCAAAUAUGAAAGCACCGUACAUUUUCUUAAAACAAAUGAGGCCGGUGCCUUAGCAAGUAAAACUUCAAAUACGGAUUGAGAUUUUUCUUUCUCAAAUCGAAUCAAUGGCCGAAUUCUUCAAGAUUUCAUAAUCAUAAAAUCUGUUUUGGAUGAAGUCCAAAGAAAUCAAAACCAUAUAUGAAAAAUCCGAACAUUUCCUCAACCCUUUAGCCUCAAAACAGUCUCAAUCACUCAAUAAAUCAUCAUUCAACUUCAAAAUCCAACAAUCCAGCCUAUCAAUGCACUUUCUAAGACAGCUCCAGAAACAUCACAACUCUUUGGGUACAGCGACCCGCUGCUCGAGGAAGGUUGAACCCAGAAAGAGGAGUUGAAGAAAUCGUGUAACAAAAACAGGAAUAGAGAACGCACACACAAAUGGCUCCCUCUGGUUUACCCAUCAUACAGCAACUAGCUUCCCCAUCCACCGAUCUCGACCAAGGACAGGGCUUUACUAGCCAUCCCCUGCACCCCAAAUCGCAGCUACCUAACCCUAAACCCACAUGCAGCACCAAAUGAGCCAAAUCAGGGACACGAGACUACAAGAACAGCCCACUUGCCUAGAUCCUUCAUCAAUGGAAGGGAAAGGAGGCAUCGGGCGGCUAAGCUUCACAGCCAGC